rnacentral:rRNA from 1 species
UACGGAGGGGGCUAGCGUUGUUCGGAAUUACUGGGCGUAAAGCGCACGUAGGCGGCUUUGUAAGUUAGAGGUGAAAGCCCGGGGCUCAACUCCGGAAUAGCCUUUAAGACUGCAUCGCUAGAAUUGUGGAGAGGUAAGUGGAAUUCCGAGUGUAGAGGUGAAAUUCGUAGAUAUUCGCAAGAACACCAGUGGCGAAGGCGGCUCACUGGCCCGGUACUGACGCUGAGGUGCGAAAGCGUGGGGAGCAAACAGG